rfam:Bradyrhizobium elkanii strain TASWS1015 Contig184, whole genome shotgun sequence.
GGGAGCGGUUUAUCCCUCCCCGGCUAUAUCAGGCGCGAGCGCCCAUCCACCCCAAGCGCCCAUAUGGCUUUGACCCGUCCGGUUGUCCCCCCGGACGGGUC